AUCAGUAGUUACCUGCCGUCAGUGUCAUCCCUCGUCUAGCUGUUCUUAUCGUCCUCUGAACAUGGAGAAUUUUCAUUCGACCUAGCAACAUCGUAUUCAUCCUUUGAUGAAGACUCCUGUAGUCCUGUAACCCAGCCAAGUUCGAAAAAGAAAGAAAAGAAAAGAAAGAAAAACUCCAGCCAAGGAAAUUAGGGUGGCUGCCGUUGCCUGGGAGACAGUCCUGCGCGGUGGCCGCUGCUUAUCCUUGCAUCCCCAUACUUCUUGCGCCGCGGGAGGGAAUCUCCUCUCGACAUCACGGACGGUUGGGACAGCCGACGAGGCGACGAGAGUGCAGUGAUCAGGUAGUCCAAUCCAAAACGAAGAGAAUGGGUAGAUCGACGAUGGC
rnacentral:lncRNA from 1 species